GACGAACGCUGGCGGCGUGCUUAACACAUGCAAGUCGAACGGAAAGGCCCUGCUUGCAGGGUACUCGAGUGGCGAACGGGUGAGUAACACGUGGGUGAUCUGCCCUGCACUUCGGGAUAAGCUUGGGAAACUGGGUCUAAUACCGGAUAGGACCGCACUUUAGUGUGUGUGGUGGAAAGUCUUUUCGGUGUAGGAUGAGCUCGCGGCCUAUCAGCUUGUUGGUGGGGUAAUGGCCUACCAAGGCGGCGACGGGUAGCCGGCCUGAGAGGGUGUACGGCCACAUUGGGACUGAGAUACGGCCCAGACUCCUACGGGAGGCAGAAGUGGGGAAUAUUGCACAAUGGGCGCAAGCCUGAUGCAGCGACGCCGCGUGGGGGAUGAAGGCCUUCGGGUUGUAAACUCCUUUCGCUAGGGACGAAGCUUUUUGUGACGGUACCUAGAUAAGAAGCACCGGCUAACUACGU
rnacentral:rRNA from 1 species